CGAGGAGUAAACAGACUAGUUCGCCUGCAAGAAAUGUACCACGUGAUGCAGUAGCCUGUUGAUGCUGGCAAAAGAUGCAAUCUGGAGGAUUUCAGGAGAUGGCUCUUGCUCACUGGCAGUGACUUGGGUCAUGUGAGACAGCAUCAGAGCUCGGGUGACAUCUCUCGCUCGGGUGAAAUCUCUCCUGGAAGAUUUCAAGGUGUGUGCAGAGUUCUGAAGAAUAAAAGUCAACAGUCAAGUUCUUCUCCAUAUUCUCCAAAUCUGACGGAGGCGUUCCAUCAGGAAAGGGGGAAUGGUUGGUCGAUGCCUCCAGAAUAAUGAUACCCAUGACCCAGGCACAACAUGCUGACAGGGAAUCGGCUAUGGCAGAAAGCAUCCAUGCCAUCUACGUGAUCCGCCAUGAAGGUUCAGAAGCUACUGACAGUCCUGAGGACAUCGGAAUCAUUUUCAAAGGGGUGACUGCAUUUGGCUGCUUGCCAAACAUCCUACCCAGGCUCCGCCCUCGCAGUGACGCAACACCUUCGGCUCUGCUACACACACUCAGGAAAACUUUGUUCAGGUACUUUCGGGUUCCCUCCACAGCAGGAAACUCCACCCACUUUGUCGGGAAGCAAUCGACUUUCAGCAUCACCAACCGUCCUGGCUAGAGGCGUGUUCAAGGAAGUGACAAGGUUUGAGCAGAGACGCUCUAUUGGGACUAAGAAAAUGUUUGGUUUAAACUUUGGCUCAGCCUGUUCGGCCCUCGACCAGUAGCAAAUCAUGAGAGUUGGGUCAACCAUGCCGUUUGAGAAUGUUGUUAUGCUCUUGGUCAGACCAAGUCUCGAAGAGAUUUGUAAGUCAUGAUAAUCAGGUUACAAAUAUUCACUUACA